rnacentral:rRNA from 1 species
UACAGAGGUGGCAAGCGUUGUUCGGAAUUACUGGGCGUAAAGGGCUCGUAGGCGGCCAACUAAGUCAGACGUGAAAUCCCUCGGCUUAACCGGGGAACUGCGUCUGAUACUGGAUGGCUUGAAUCCGGGAGAGGGAUGCGGAAUUCCAGGUGUAGCGGUGAAAUGCGUAGAUAUCUGGAGGAACACCGGUGGCGAAGGCGGCAUCCUGGACCGGUAUUGACGCUGAGGCGCGAAAGCCAGGGGAGCAAACGGG